rnacentral:rRNA from 1 species
GACGAACGCUGGCGGCGUGCUUAACACAUGCAAGUCGAACGGAAAGGCCUGCUUUCCCUUGUGGAUUGCGGGUACUCGAGUGGCGAACGGGUGAGUAACACGUGAGUGAUCUGCCCCCAACUUGGGUAUAAGCCUGGGAAACUGGGUCUAAUUCCCGAUAGGACUGCAGGGUGGUGCCGGUGGUGGAAAACGAUUUUCUAGUGGUUGGGGAUGAGCUCGCGGCCUAUCAGCUUGUUGGUGGGGUAAUGGCCUACCAAGGCGGCGACGGGUAGCCGGCCUGGGAGGGUGGACGGCGACAUUGGGACUGGGAUACGGCCCCGACUCCUACGAGAGGCAGCAGUUGGGAAUAUUGGACACUGGGCGGAAGCCUGAUGCCGCGACGCCGCGUGGGAGAUGACGGCCUUCGGGUUGUAAACUCCUUUCGACCGCGAGGAAGCCACCUGGUUGGAAGGGUGGUGACGGUAGUGGUAGAAGAAGCACCGGCUAACUACGUG